rnacentral:rRNA from 1 species
UCAUCCUCUUUAAAAUACGCUUUAACCUCUUUAAACCUGAUGGCAGAACGGGUUGUAUAGAAGGUAAAUACGUCGAAGAUGAAACAUCUGCUGGCUGAAGGAACCGAGCGUGAUAGAGCUCCCAUUGACAAACGUGUGAUGAUCGACGGAGAUGAGUUCGAGGUGGUGAAUGAAUUUGUCUACCUCGGAUCAUUGGUCGGAUAACAACUGCAGCAGAGAAAUUGGGAGACGUUUGACCAUGUCCGCAAAUGGCGCGUAUGGUCUCGCACCGACUACAGAUCUUUCAAAUACCUGCCCUAUUCACUAUUGAUGGUAGUAGAGAACACUACCAUGGUUGCAACGGGUAACGGGGAAUCAGGGUUUGAUUCCGGAGAGAGAGCCUGAGAAAUAGCACAUCCAAGCAAGGCAGCAGGCGCGUAAAUUACCCAAUCCCGGCACGGAGAGGUAGUGACGAGAAAUAACAAUAUAAGACUCUUUUAUGACGUCUUAUAAUUGGAAUGAGUUGAGCAUAAAUCCUUCAACAAGGAUCAAUAGGAAAGCAGGUCUGGUGCCAGCAGCCGCGGUAAUUCCAACUCAACUAGCAUAUUAAAAUUGUUGUGGUUAUAACGUUCGAAGUUUAUUCUUGUCCAACACGGGUGCUACUCCUAAUGAUGGCGGUAGGUCACUGAAUUGUUGCGACUACAUAUAAGACUGGGUGAGCUCGUCGGUCCUCGCGGCCGGCGCGGUCGUAGUGUGGCGCUGAUGCUUUUUAUCGGGUGCAGUAUUUUCCACAAGCCCAGCUGCUAUUACUUUGAACAAAUUAGAGUGCUGUAAGCAGGCUAUCCUACGGCCGAAAAUAAUCUUGCAUGAAAUAAUGGAAUAUGACCUCGGUCAUUGGUUUGUAAUCAGAUCAAGAGGUGAUGAUUAACAGAAGUAGUUGAGGGCAUUAGUAUUACCUCGCGAGAGGUGAAAUUCGUAGACUGUCGUAAGACUUACUAAAACUAAACAUUUGCCAUGGAUGCUUUCAUUAAUCAAGAACGAAAGUUAGAGGAUCGAAGGCGAUUAGAUACCGCCCUAGUUCUAACCGUAAACUAUGCCGAUUAACAAUUGAGAGACGCGGCAUUAUGGUGCUCUCAGUAGCUUCCGGGAAACCAAAAUUAGGUUCCGGGGUAAGUAUGGUUACAAAGUUGAAACUUAAAGGAAUUGACGGAAGGGCACCACCAGGAGUGGAGCCUGCGGCUUAAUUUGACUCAAUACGGGAAAACUUACCAGGUCCGAGAAUUGCUCCGAUGGUCCCUUGGAUGGCAGUUGCAUUAGUUCUGUGUUCUGUAACUCGAUGGUCUGUAUUAUCGAAAAUAAAAUCAUAAUGCCAUGGAUGGGGAUUUGGAAGUAGUAAAAAAGAAAGCCAGUACGGUCACGAUACACGUUUGAAUGAUUUAUUCUGGAAAUAUUUCAUACUUACAAAUUUUGUUCGAACCAAUCUGGUUUCGAACCUCACGCCGCUUCGGCGAGAGAGCAGUUUUGGUACGUUUUCAGCUAUAGGAAUGAGUAACAGAUUUUAUUCACCAUAUCUAUAAAUACAAUUGUUUAAAAAAAAAUUGGCUAAGUUUUGCCUCCGUCGUCCGCGCCGCGGUAACUCAAUUAAAGUCUUGCCCUAAACAAUUGCUUCGGCGCUACCGAAGAUCGUGAAGACGAACCAACCGACGGUGUUGAUGGCCGCCGCCGUGCUAAACACCGCUGACCAGCUUUGCGUCAGUUCGAGAAUGUGCCCCGCCAGAUAGACGCCCAGAAAGCCGGGAAUGGCUCCGACAGUGUUCAUGAGGCCGAAAACGCUACCCGAAUGGCUCGGCGCCAAGUCCUGCGGGUUCACGG